CUACAAAACUCUUUAUGGACAAACCUGCAUUUACCGUACACAGAACAGGGCAUACCUCCAGUAAGACGAUGGAGAUGAUGGUCAUCUCAGGACUCAACCAGGGGAACAGACGCUGGAGCUGCCCACACUGACCAAUCAGGGUCUCUGCAGGCCGGUGCAGAGCUUCAGGGCGUCGCUGCGGAUCUCGAUGAUGUUGUUGAUAAGAGCGCACAUGGCCGCAAGGGGAAACGCAGAGGAGAAGAGCACCACGUAGCCAAACUGAAUGAACAUUUCCUGGUAGUCCUGAAGCGUGUCCUGUUGGGAGAGAGUCAGAUUCCUUUGGAGAGGACACAGUGGCAUUCUCCUUGGUCUCCUGCUAAGGUAAACAUUAGACUACAAUACUACCUCCGGUGACUACUAAGACAUCUUAAAUUCUACAGCUUUGGAGUGGACAGUUUAAUUUUGAUCUGUCAGUGUACUACCUGGAUGAAUGAGACCAAUCUCCACCGACAUUAUAUGACUUAAUUCAUAAAACUACAUGAAACAAGUUGAACUGUAUUGGAAAGAGCUGAAAUUAUCCAAACAUAAUGAGAAAUUUC